UACGGGGGGGGUAAGCGUUGUUCGGAAUUACUGGGCGUAAAGGGCUCGUAGGCGGCCAACUAAGUCAGACGUGAAAUCCCUCAGCUUAACUGGGGAACUGCGUCUGAUACUGGAUGGCUUGGAUCCGGGAGAGGGAUGCGGAAUUCCAGGUGUAGCGGUGAAAUGCGCAGAUAUCAGGAGGAACACCGGUGGCGAAGGCGGGUCUCUGGGCCGAUACUGACGCUGAGGAGCGAAAGCGUGGGGAGCAAACAGG
rnacentral:rRNA from 1 species